rnacentral:tRNA from 1 species
GCUUACGUGGUGUAGUGGUCAGCACGCUCGACGCGUAUUCGAGAGGUCCGUGGUUCGAUUCCCUGUGAGGACA